GUGAAGGAACCAAGCAAAGAAUUGCAGAAAUCCCCAAGCCUUAGCCUUGAGACUCUGCUGAAGGACACUCUGCUCUCAGGGACUGGGGACCCUCCUGAGCUCCACCAAUGUGAAGUGAGAAAACAUCCUCAAGCUAUUUGCCAAUUUUCUUGGUAGAUAUGCAAGAUUCCUUUCCCAGUGGUAAAGCUACUCAUUCAAAGCAGGCUGGGUGACCUCAGAUGGAUCCUCAGGGACUGGAGCGACCCUGGAGUCACUAGUAAAAAGAUGCUGUCGCUACCAGUUCAAAAGCCAAAUUAUUGAUGUGCUGCACGCCAUGUCCUGGAGCACACAUGUGCAGACACAGGCGGACACACAGGCUUACACGCGUGUGCACGUGCACACUGCCCCCAGGGGCUGCAGGCGAGGCAGCCAUCCCACAUGGGCUGGAUGAAUAGCUGGUCUGUCCCUCAGCUGUGUGCUCUCUCCCACCCCAGGAGAGCACAGAGCCGCAGCCAGCCAAGCCGAGGAGCCCACGCAGUCUGUCCGGCACCGCCGUGCGAGGGGACUGGAGGGCAGCAAGAUGGAGUCAGAAAGAGAAAUCAGCAGCCGUCAAAGCCAAGUAGAAUUGUCGAAGGCAUCUGACCGCCGCCCUCCUGAUCGGAGACCCCUCUAGACGGCCCCGCCCAGCACAGCUACACGUGGGGGCUCACAACGCGGUCAGCUUCGCUGCUGAGCAGCUGCUGCUCCCGCGCUUUCCCACGCCUGGUGCUUGGGUAUCUACACCGCUCCCUUUCUCUCAAGCCUUGAUCUUGGCAGGGAGCCACAAGCCCCUCUCACUGAACCCCUCUCCCUGUGACCCUACAGAAGACCCCAUCACCUGUACCAGAGCUGCUGCUCUGAUCCCUAGUGCCAGAGCGGUCCCUCUCCGGUUUGUUCUGCAAUAAACUUGUCCUGUUGAGCUCCUACCUCUGUUUCCUCUUUUCCUUUUUCCUAACAAUUGUUGACUUUUUUUCAGCCUGUUUGGCUUCACCUUGUUUCUGCACUCUGAA
rnacentral:lncRNA from 1 species